rnacentral:lncRNA from 1 species
CGAGGAUGCAAAUGCAACGGAUGGCCCGGCAGCGUGCUUUGGCAGCAGGCACCCAAGCGCUUCGAUCAGUAGGAGAUGUCGACGAGCGCGAUCAUGGCGUUCGCGACGAUAUCCUCGUGUGCCGCCCUCUGCAGCUCGUCGCGGAGCAAGGCGCGCCGCUGGCUCCGCGUCCGCGGCGGCGUCGGCGGCCGCCGCACGGCGCGGCGCGCACCGCUGGCGUAGGGCCGCAGCUCGGCGUCGUAGAAGGACGCGAGCUCCCGGAGCACGGCGCACGCCCGCGGCAGGUGGCGCGCGAGCGGCAGCGCGAGGUUGAACGGCCACAGCAGGAACGUGAACUGGAACGCCUGCAGGAACCCGCCCGCCACGGCCGGCACGGCGAGGAGCAACACGUGAACCGCCAUGGAUCACGAUCGGCCUCUCUCUUCUUCUUCUUUUUUUUUUCUGAGCUCUGUGAUCGACCGCUCCACUGCUGCUAGCUAGAUGGUGUUGUCUCUCUACCCCUGUGUGCUCUCCAUGGCUAUGUGCCCGAGGAGCUCGAGGCGCGCGUGUUGGUGGUUAGCAAGGACCUGGCAAGCCGGCCGUGAACGGAGAAGGGAUUGUAGAUACCUUGCUUUGUGGAGUGGACAUUGGCGAAGG